rnacentral:lncRNA from 1 species
UUUAAUAUGAGGAUUCUUAGAAGGUUCUUUUGUCCUUAAUAUAAAAAAAUUAUAGUUUUUAAUGUGUAAAUAUUAUUUAAAUGUCAUUUUUACUCUUAAUAAUUAUGUUUCCCAUGUUAUCGGGAUAUGAAGAAUUCUCUCAAAAGUGGAGAGAUAAUAGGCACAAAUAGUGAAGAUGAGAUGCUUUUAAAGAGGUACACACAUCCAUACUAUAUAAAGAAAAACAACAUAAAAAGAAAAAAUUAGAGGUUGAUUGAGUAAAAGAAAGAAAAGCUAUACAUCUACUAGAUUGUUCAUAAUAUGGAUUUGAAUACAAACUAAUUUCAUUUAUUUUUAUUUUUAUAAUGGUUUUUGGUUAUCCAACAUUUAAGAACCAGUUAUUAAUCAAUAUAAGUAACACAAUAAAUAUUUAUUUUACAUCAACUUCUAUAUAAAAAAAACCCAAAAAACAAUAACUAAAACCAAUACUAAAUAUGUUUAGACUAUGAACAAGUGCUAACCACAUUUGUUAGCAUUUUCAAUACUAAAUAUGUUUAUAAUAGGAAUAACUUUUUCUUUUUAAAUUUUUCCAAUUUUUUUGUUCAAAUUUAUUCAAAUGGUGAGGUGAAAUGGGAUUUUAAAUAAAUUCAAUAGAUAAAUGAUAAUACACAAGUGUUGUGUGAGCUUUCAUUGCCUAUAGAAAAUUCAAAAUUGAUUUCCAUAACGUGAAUUUAUGCCUACGAUAAACCAUCAUGACUUCUACAACUAAAUGAAAAUAUUUUCCAUGUAACCCAAGUAAUUACCUUUAAAAAAAUAAAAACUACUCUUUAGUCCUUAAUAAGAGAGGCUUUAUAUAAGGUUUUUUGUCCUUAAUAUAAAAAAAGUACAGCUUUUAAUAUGUAAAUAUUAUUUAAAUGUCUUUUUUUGUUUUAAUUAUUAUUAUGUUUCCCAUGCAAUCAGGAUAUGAAUAGUUCUCUAAAAAGUGUAGAGAUUAGAGGCUCAGAAAUUUGGAUGAGAUGCUUGCGCAUAUAUACAUGCAUACUAUCUAAACAAAAAACAAAAUAAAAGGACAAAAUUAUUCGAUGAUUAUGGAGGAAACAUGAUUGAAUAGAUAAAGUGGUUAAUAAAGUUGUAAUAAUUGGUCAAAUUAAUUUUUGAAAUUUGUAAAUACAUUGUAGAAAUUGUAAAAUAUUAAUCAAAACAAUCUAUAUUUAAAUUUUUAUCGUUAAGAAACUAUGUUGUGA